rnacentral:lncRNA from 1 species
AAAAAAAAAAAAAAAAAAAAGAGUGCUUCCACAUUAAAUCAAGAAAGACACACACACAAGUGAACUGGAAGAGUAUCACACCCUCUUAGGCCUCAAUGUCCACAACAUCACUGGCCACAGCUUUUAGUUUCAGGAGGUGAGAUAUGAAAACAAACCUAAUGGGCAAAGCAGAUCUAAACAGGGUAAGACCUGGAGCCCCGGCCCCAUGCAGCCUGCAGAAGAAGCCCUGGAGGCUCUCACCUCCCACUUCAGGCUGCCCAAAGUCACAGAGCCUGUGACUCCAGGACUCAUCUUUCUACAAACGCUUUGGUUGGCCAGCGCUUCCUUUUACCGUCAGCCGCCCCUGCCCGGGACACUUGCAGAUCAGGGGACUUUGUGGGUCUCAUUGAGGCUGUAUUUGCGGAUUCAAUUACGCAUUUUUAAUUCCGCAAAUAUUUGCCACUGCUGCCUGACCUGGAGCCUGUGUGGCCAGAUCCUUUGAUCGAAAGCCGUCUGCCUGUGGAUCAGACCCUGUGGUGAGUGGUGACAGCCCAGGGGUGGGGAGGCAGAUCACCCUGCUGGGUUGCUGGGGAAGGCUGUGUGGAGGCCAUAGGGUCUGAGCAAUAUACUAAGACCUAGUUAAAGAUUUGCAGCGAGAGAAUCCAUGAAACAUGAAACACGGAGGCUGUGGGGGGUCGAGUUAGGACUCUGGAUGGCCACAUCCUGACCCCCAGAACAUGCAACCACCGCCUUGUAUGGAAAGGGGGCUUUGCGGAUGUGAUAGGGCUGAGGCUCCUGAGAUGGGUGAUUUUCUUGGAUGAUCCUGGCGGGCCAAUGAAAUCACAGGGUCCUUCUGAGAGGGAGGGAGGACAGCAGAGAGGGGAAGGUGAUGUGGCCACAGAGCCAGAGAUGACGGAAGGGGCUGCCAGCCCAGGGGUCCAGGUACCACCGGAAGAAGGAAAGACAGAGACAUGGGGUCUCCCCAUGCCCAGCCCUGCAGAGACCCUGAAUUCAGCGCAGGGGUACUGAUUUGGGGGUUAUGGCCUCCAGAACUGUGAGAGAAUAAGUCUCCGUUGUCUUAUGCCACCGAGUGUGCGGUACGUGUUAUGGCAGCCACAUAGCAGGUGUGAGGAAGCUGGAGAAGGGACUGAAGAUGGGGUGCAGCUGGGACCACCCUGCUGGGCUAAGGCCAGUUCUGGAAAGAGACUGAACAGCUCUCCCUCAGGAGCAGUGAGGGAGGAACCCGUGAGUCAGUGGAGGGUGGGAGGAAACGUGGGAGGAGCCUCCGACAUCCUAGAAACGCGGGGGUACCAAAGCCAGCACCGGCCUGCGGGGGGAAAGCCGGCCUCUUACGCCCUGGAAGAGGAAACUCACAGAGAUCCCCACAACGACACCCAGCUGUGCAGGAGGCCCACGUCCUGUCUCAUUUCAUUUUCUCCUCUCGGUGAACAAAAAGAGAAGAAAAUGACAGGAGCAGAAGGUCAAAGGGAAGCAUCGAGAGAAAGAGGAUGAAUUGACACCUGUGGCUAAUUGAAGUGAAAUCAGAUCACAGAGGCCAUGAGACCCACGUCCAGAGGGCCCUAGGAGGGAGCUGUGGGCUCAGCUGGUUGAUUUACUCUGGCUUGGGUCGCUGCUACUGCUUUGAGGACAAUAAGCUUGGCCAUCACCAGACACCAGAGGAUGCUGAAGGGACAGCCGGCUAGACUAUUUCAUGGACUCUCUGAGCAUGUCCUAUUGCAGUCCAGGUACAAACUUUUCCUCCAGAAAUAGACAGAGGGAUGCUGCUUCCCAAUUUCAGCAAAGGCAGUGGAAAGAUCCCGGUCAAAAGUAGAAACUCUGGGUCCAGGCCUUCCAGCUGACACUCACUCUGAUAUGGUUUGGCUGUGUUCCCACCCAAAUCUCAACUUGAAUUGUAUCUCUCAGAAUUCCCACGAGUUGUAGGAGGGAUCCAGGUGGAGGUAAUUGAAUCAUGGGGUGGGUCUUUCCCAUGCUAUUCUCGUGAUAGUGAAUAAGUCUCACCA